AUCUAAGUGCCUUCGAGGGCACCCCUUAUCAAAUGCCUACACUGCCUCUCUGAGCACCCCAUAGUUAGCAAAAGGUUGUAAAUUUGUUGUCACAUCACUGUCGUGGGUUUUUAAGCUGGCAUUCCCUUCGGACAGUAUCUAAGAGCAAAGAGGAAUUGUUCUAGCGAGGAAACUUUUUUUACAGGAAGCUAAUACACUUAGAACACGCUUUAAAGAACAUGGAUACCCUAACAGGAUCCUUAAACAAGCAUUCCAGCGUGUUUCACUUGUGGAUCGAGCCACCUGUCUUAGAAAUCAAAAAAGCCAACCCAAAAAACAUAUUACAAUAUGUAUUGGGACUUCUGACCAGUUUUGGGACCCUAUCCGCAAGAUCUUUACAGAAAAUUGGCCCAUACUUACCCACGACAGUGAUGUGGCAACAAAUUUACAACCUUUUCCGAGCAUUACACCAUGGAGAGCCACCAAUUUACGCGACUUACUUGUCCACAGCCACUUGAAGCCUCAACAAGCACCUCUAACCUGGCUACAAUCAUCCAAAGGGAUGUUUAAAUGUGGACACUGUAAAGCUUGCAAAUAUAUCUUGCCAUUCAAAACAAUAGUAUGCACUAAUACCAAAACCACAUAUACAAUCAAAGAAUGUCAUCACUUGUAGCUGCAAACUACAAUAUGUGGGAAAAAUCUACCAGGAGUUCCAUAGGCGAGUGCUACAACAUGUCAACUCUGUGACAAAUUCUAACAUCUCUACACCAGUUGCAAAUCACGUAAGAAAUUUUCAUAAUACUGAUCCUACCAAUUUGAAUUUUCAAAUUUUGCAACACAUCCAUCUUAACACAAGAAAAGGUAACUUCAACCUUAUACUAUUGAAGAAAGAAUCUAGAUGGAUACAUCAAUUCAAAACACUGGCUCCUUACGGGCUUAAUGAGGAGUUUAAUUUCACUCCCUUCAUCCAUAAUUCAACAUGAUAUUAAUUCAGGUUGCACCAACAAGGUAUAUUGGGGGCAGACAACAUGGUGAACCACUAGAGUUCCCAGUUAUCAAUAACAGACCAGUUCUAGAACUGUUCCUUUAAGUCCUGUUACUCAUAUUCUGAUUGCCACUUAUACAGUACAAAAUUAACGGACAGAUUGCUCAUAUUAGUAGCAUUUUAAUAACUAGUCUAUGACUAGUCCCUCUUUUCAAAUACGGACUAACUUCAGAAAAUACUCUUCAACAAUCAAUAACUAAUCUGUUAGGACAACACAUCUAAAUAUGUUAUUAAUUUUUUUAGUCCAUUUAUUUCCCUUAUGUUAAUUCCCUACAUAGGUCAUUUGUAGUAUAUUCUUUUUAUUUAAUCUCUGAUACUAACAAUAAUUGGAUUUGUUUCUCACCCAUGUUCUAUGAGAUCUGAAACAUUAGUAGAAACAUAAGUUUUUCCUUUUAUAGUCUUAAUGCAUUAUAGUAUUCCUACUAUAUGCAAUAUUCGUGACCUUAUCCCCAUGGACAGCAUGCACUAAAUACUAUCCAUAAGAUCUGCAUUAGUAAUUCAUUCUGAUGUCAGCCAGUAUUCCCUGGCUGUAAUACUGAUACAGAACAUUCAACAGACGACCCAAUCAUUUUCUACUUUUUUCCUUUAACUGAUUCCCAAUAUUAUACACCGAUCUUCAGUGAUCUCGGCUUUUUUUUAUGUAUUUGUAAGAAGUCACAUUCUUCGUAUUACAAGAUAUAGUCACACUUAUACAGUUAAGUAUCUUUAGGGUUAAAAUUAGUAGAAAGAAAGCUUAAACCCUCCCCCUUAUCCUCAUUGGUCACCCUAACACAUAAAUACUGAUACCUACCUGUCUUCAGUUCCCCUCUGAUGAGUAACCCAGACGAAACACGCCUGUCAGGGGCUCUGGACGCUUAGUCGGCUAUACUUCUGCUGUUGCACUAACACAGCCGCAAUCUCGCUAGCUACAAUUGCUCCUUAAUCUAGGCGUUCUUUUUGGUAGUCCUGUUUUCUACUUAUUUGCUAACUAUGGGGUGCUCAGAGAGGCAGUGUAGGCAUUUGAUAAGGGGUGCCCUCGAAGGCACUUAGAUUUGUAACAAUUAGCCAGCGCUAGGUUUGUGACACUCUAUAUACUUGCAUUGAUCAUUACAUACUUAUUCUAGCGGUUCACUCUCACUGUCUCUGAACCCUCCUGUGCUAUAGGCACCUCAUUAUCACUUUUUGUGUAUUAUUGUUUUAUUUCUCUAACCACACUGGUGUGCUAUAUAGCAAUUUGAUAUUUAGAGCACAGGAGGCAUUCCUCUCAUAUCGAGAAGACUCAUUACUGCAGGAGAGUCUAUAGAAUAGAUGCACCCUGUGCUCCCUUCUGUUACUUUUUGCUACACAUUUUGUAGCAACUGUUCUAUUAUGAUUUAUUGAGUAUCUAUUUUCACUACCACUCUCUCUGCGAUAUUUGCUAUUUGAGAGUUCAGUGUUAGCUCUAGCUAGACAAUAGGACAUAAUUUAGCCUUGUGCUUUCUGUUUUUACUAUUAUUCUUCUAUGUGUCUAUUUUAGUAUACUUAUUAAAAGUUAAGUUUUAAGUUCAUUUCUACUGUGACAAUAUUGAUUAUGAUUCUAUAGUGAGACACCUAUUGGUAGUUUUUUUCCCUUUAAAUCAGGUGUCCGCUCUGUGAAAUGGUCCUAACCAGAGUCACUAACAAUUUAAUUACUUAACCAAAAAGGUUUGUUUGUUUUCUUUCCGUUUUUUUUUUUUUCUUCUCCUUCAACUUUCUGCUACUUUUGUUCAAAUUCAUUUGGUUUUCAUCAUACCUCUCUCCAUGUUACUUUAGUGUUUCCUUUUUGGGGGCAACCUUCUAACCACUAACUGUUUUAUUGGAACCCCCCUUCCCCACCGUCCUCCUAUAUGCUGAUACCACUCUCUGAUCUCUUUUUCACCCCCUGGUACAUUUCACUAACUGUCUAAGAGAAUGACUCUUCCUGAAACACAUUCUUUCUAAAAUUGAGCUUCUUAUCUUUCCUCCUUUUCAUAGGAACAAUUCUUUAUCACUCCCCUCCAGUCUAUUAACUCAAACCAUCAAAGCUUACUGCUGUGGUGUUAUUUUUUUAUUCGAUUUAUUUAUUUGCCGUUUUAUAUCCUCAUUGUAAAGCACUGUGGAGUGCUGUAUAAAUGAUGAUGGUGACUGAUUAUUUUUCAUGGUCACGCAGAGGUGUGGAUCACAUCCAAGUGUUCUUUUAUUGGUUUUGGAGUACAUAUUGAAUAGUUUAAUUAAUCUUUGAUUACAGUAAAAGUACCAUUUACACAUUCAAGUACUCCUUGUUCACCUCUGCAAUCACUGGUGAUCUGAAUUAUUCAAAGUGGGGUAGUCACCAUGGAAACUAGUGGCACAUUCCACUGGUGAGGGUGACUCCUCUUCUCAUAUUUAUAUGAACCAUUUUUAGAACAGAACACUUUGAUAAAUCUUCUCAUUUUUAAAAUGUAUUUUUAGUUAUUUUUUUUUAAUAAAUAUAUAUAUAAAAUACAUUUUGGGACAGAAUAGCUGAAUUAGACAUUAUCUCCAGAUGUUACACUUUACAGAACAGUAGCCAACUCCUUACAGCUCAGUUGUUUUUUUUAACUUUGCGUUCACGUGGUCUACAAUCCUCAUAAAGUCAAGCAGCUAGCAAUGAUAUAUUUUAAAGGAACACUCACUGCAGUAGUUAUGGUGCCAGUUAGUGUUCUGGUGCCCCUCUCCUCCCCCCCAAGGUAAGCUUACCUGGGGUCUGCCCAACAAGCUAGCUAAGUACAGCAUGGGAUAGAUUUGGAAGAAUACAAGUUUCUGCUUAGUAUCGGAUGGCUUUCCAGUGCUUGUUGUGUAAAUGGGGGUGUGGAAACGGACACUCUUGGCACUCAUUUCUAAAACUGUGUGCGACAAUGGUUAUUCAUUAAACUGUAUUUCAUCUUGCAAUAUUAUUCCAUCAGCUUAAAGAUGUAAAUGUGAGGUGUGUGAAAUAUAUAUUUCACGUACUUCCUUAAAGUAUAGUAUAUGUUCCCAGAAUGUAAUGAGUAGCUAGCACUCUAGUUAGCACAAUGUGCAGAAUGUUUUAUUGCCUUAUGUUUAUGGAUGAAGGGUAUAGUAACAUUGUUAUCUACAGUUCUUUCCAUUUGCACUUCUUGUAGUUUAGAGACAUAAUUGAUUUAUGUAGCUAAUGUUUGUUAUGAAAAUGUAAUGUUUUGUGUGUAUGAUAUUUCUUGUGAAAUUACAGUGCAUGCCCUAUUGAAGAACACAGAGUCAGUGCAACCUGUUUUGAUAUUUGUACCUUGUGACAAAGCAGGAUUUUUCUAAAAAGACUGUGCUACCUUUGCCAGGAGGUUAUUAAGUACACUCCUCAUGCUUUAAGGAAAAUUAUACUAUCCUACUUUGAACAGUCUUCCAGUGUUUCAAUAAUAACCAGUUUAUCAUACAUCUAAUGAAUUUAAAUAUGUGAUAAACUCUCUCCACUGAUCGGUGUUCAGUGUGUUUUAUGGGGACUUUUCUCUAGUACUACCAGAACAGCACUAGAAGAACCGAGACAAACCCGGGACAUUGCUAGAGGGGUCUAAAAUUGGAGCUGCCUUGUUGGAUGCAAGGGAAUUAUGACUCUUUAAACUAAAUGCUCAGAUCCACUGCCAUAUACCUUCUACCUGGAUAUUGGAUUAGAAAUCUGGAAAGGCAAAAAAAAGGUCCUGCAUAAUUUACAUGAAAGUCUGGGAGAGUUAUGGUAAUGCAAUCUUCUAGAAUUUCUCGAAUAAGUUCUUAUUGUGUGUGUAAUAUGUGUAUUUUUUUUAUUUAUUUAUUUUUUGCUACCAUGUGCUGCAGCAGAUUACAAAAUUUACAGUAAUCCAUUUAUUGUGCUCUGUUGAUCUCAUAAACCAACUGACAUGGAGGCUUUCAUGAGUUCAAAAUUUCUUCCAAUUCUGUUUUUGUGUAUGUAUGUUAUUAGAGUUAUCUUGUAUAGCUGAGAAUGUUAAAUAGAUGACAUUCAAUAAAUGGGUAUAUCUAUCUAGAGCUAGAACUCCUUGGUAAUGUAUCCAUUAUUGUAGCGGAUACAUGGGAUUAUCCUAGAAGAACCAUUGGGAUGUCUCAAUAUAUGUGUAAAAGUUCCAUAGGGUUAAUGCCAACAGACAGAAUAAUCAUCAUGGGAAAACACAGAUUGCAAAGCAUAGUCCUAAAUCUAAGUGCUAUAAUAUGUAUGGCUCGAUGACUUGAAUCUAUGUAGCAUGAAUUGCAAAAGGCGCUGUAUUUUAAUAUAGUGAAUGCUUUAUGGAGAUUGUGUCGCUGUGUCAUAUGUGAAUGUGUAGUGAUAAAAGUGCAUAUUUUAUUUUGUACGUGAAGCGAAAAUAUGACCGUUUUAUUCUUAGCUUUCUAAUUCUAUGAUUGUGUAUGUAAAAAAGGCACAGAGAUGUAUAUGUAAAUAUAUAUUUUACAUUUUGCUUGUUAGUCUUUUCUUUGGUAAUGCUUACAAUUCAGAAUGAGAGAUUAGAUAUUUUUUUUAAUUAUUUCAAUGUGUUAUUAUUUAUUGUAAUUCAUUAAAGAUGUUUAAAAUAAAGUUUCCAUAAAGAGUAGUAAAACCUUGACUCCCAGCAAUAUCAGAAAAACUAUCACGAAACCAGGAAAUUUUGUUACAAGGGGAAGGUAAAUCCUGGCUGGGAUAUGGCCUGUUCAUGCGCGCUAUCCACAGGUUAAGAG
rnacentral:lncRNA from 1 species